AUAAAAUUCGGACCGUCGGUCUACCGAGCAAUUUCACCAGGUCGGUGGAAGAUCUUCCAUCACAU
rnacentral:pre_miRNA from 1 species